GUUUCAUAUCCACCACUGCUGCUGAACCAAGAGCAGCAGUUAGUCCAGCUUAUGGCUGUGUGCUUUAUAAUGAAACGUACAUCUGCAGUGGUUCUCAGUAUCACAUGUACUGUAACACAAGAAUGCAUCAUUUCUACUACCAGACAGACCAAGACCAACACCAGUACCACUGCAUGAGUAAUGACUGUAUCUGUGUUGGUAUAAUGACACCUGUGCAUGCUACUAUAAUACUUCAUCCUGCUUCUGUGAGACCUUUAGCAAUAACCUCACUAUCCCUAGUCCAGUCUAUGACUGUCUGCUUUAUAACGACACAUACAUCUGCACUGGUACUCAGUACUACAUGUACUGCAACACAAGUGUACAUGAUUUCCAUUACUAUAGAUACCAUUACCACUGUUUUAAUAAUAACUGUAACUGUGUUGGUAAUAAGGACAUCUGUACGUGCUACUCUAAUACGUCAUCCUCCUGCUUCUGUACAAAUAACAGCAGUAGCAUCGCUUUCCCUGCAGCAGUAAGUCCAGUGUAUGACUGUGGGCUUUAUAAUGACAUGUACAUCUGCACUCGUGCUCAGUACCGCAUGUACUGUAACACAAGAUUGCAUAAUUUCUACUACUGGAGAGAUCAGUACCAAAACCAAUAUGAAUAUGAAUGCUGGAGUAAUAAUUGUUUUUGCACUGGUAAUAAGGACACCUGUACAUGCUACAGUAGCACUUUGUCCUCCUGCUUCUGCGAGACUUACAGCAAUAGCACUGCUCUCACUUCAGCAGUUAGUCCAGUCGCAGACCCUGACUGUGUGCUUUAUAAUGACAUGUACAUCUGCACUCGUGCUCAGUACCGCAUGUACUGUAACACAAGAUUGCAUAAUUUCUACUACUGGAGAGAUCAGUACCAAAACCAAUAUGAAUAUGAAUGCUGGAGUAAUAAUUGUUUUUGCACUGGUAAUAAGGACACCUGUACAUGCUCUACUAGCACUUUGUCCUCCUGCUUCUGUGAGACUUACGGCAAUAUCACUGCUCUCAGUACAGCAAUUACUCCCAGUCUAUGACUGUGUGCUUUAUGACACAUCAUACAUCUGCACUGGUGCUCAAUACCAAAUGUACUGCAACACAAGUUUACAUUAUUUCCAUUACGAUAGACAACAUUACCACUGUUUUUAUGAUAACUGUGACUGCAUUGGUAAUAAGGACACUUGUUCAUGCUCUAGUAGCACUUCAUCCUCCUGUUUCUGUACAAAUAACAGCAGUAGCAUCACUAUCCCUGCAGCAGUUAGUCCAGUUUAUGACUGUGGGCUUUAUAAUGACACAUACAUCUGCACUGGUGCUCAGUACCGCAUGUACUGCAACACAAGAAUGCAUCAUUUCUACUACUGGACAGAUCAGUACCAAAACCAAUAUGAAUAUGUAUGCUCGAGUUAUAACUGUUUCUGCAUUGGUAAUGAUGACACCUGUACAUGCUACAGUAGCACCUUGUCCUCCUGCUUCUGUGAGACUUACGGCAAUAUCACUGCUCUCAGUACAGCAAUUACUCCAGUCUAUGACUGUGUGCUUUAUGACACAUCAUACAUCUGCACUGGUGCUCAAUACCAAAUGUACUGCAACACAAGUUUACAUUAUUUCCAUUACGAUAGACAACAUUACCACUGUUUUUAUGAUAACUGUGACUGCAUUGGUAAUAAGGACACUUGUUCAUGCUCUAGUAGCACUUCAUCCUCCUGUUUCUGUACAAAUAACAGCAGUAGCAUCACUAUCCCUGCAGCAGUUAGUCCAGUUUAUGACUGUGGGCUUUAUAAUGACACAUACAUCUGCACUGGUGCUCAGUACCGCAUGUUCUGCAAUACAAGAAUGCAUUAUUUCUACUACUGGAAAUAUAGAAACCAAAUCCAAUAUGAAUAUGAAUGCUGGGGUAAUAACUGUUACUGCAUUGGCAAUAAGGACACCUGCACAUGCUACACUAGCACUUUGUCCUCCUGUUUCUGCGAGUAUAACAUCUCCAUCCCAACAAAAAUCAGUCCAACUACUGUAGGUCUGAUUAUCAAACUGCCGGAUCAAUGCAGAAAUCAGACCUCAGAAGGGUGUCUUCAAAAUCUUCUUGAGCAGACAGAGAACAUUACAGAUCAAGAGCUGCCUGUGACUACUGUGAUGAGCAUUUUGACUGUGGCCUUCGACACUUCAGAGAAGAUUUUAGAGUCAUUAUCAUCAGCAAACCCAGCUGAACUAGCCUCCUAUGGAAACCGUCUGUUAAAAGCCAGCGAGAAACUCAUUUCUAUAUUAGUGAAGCCGACAGACACAAGUGACAGUGUCAGUUUCACUCUUGCUGCUGUAGGUAAGUGGAGACACAAUUAUUAUUAUUGAUGAUGAAACAGAUUAUAUGUGAUGUCAGUGGCUUUUUAUAGUCAGCUUUUCAAACCUGUUUUGGAGGACCCCCAGCCCUGCACACUUUGGAUGUCUCCUUCAUCUAACACACCUGAUUGUUCUCAUCAGCUCAUUAGCAGAGACUGCAAGACCUGUAUUGGGUGUGUCUGAUUAGAGUGAUAUACAAAAUGUGCAGGGCUGGGGGUCCUCCAGGACAGGUUUGAAAACCCCUGAGCAGUGGUGGAACAGACAGCAACAAAUGAUAAAUGCGGAUACAGUAACUCUAUAAUUGUGUAGAGUUACAAAUGUUUUAACAGAAAACACUGUCUGUAUAUUUUUAUGUUGAUGUCAAAGGUCAGUAUUUUGGUGCAAAUUCAUCUAUCAUUAGGUAGAAAUGUCUUGAAAAACCCUCAUCCUGAAAAGCCAU
rnacentral:lncRNA from 1 species